AGCGGCGGACGGGUUAGUAACGCGUGGGAACGUGCCCUUUUCUAAGGAAUAGCCACUGGAAACGGUGAGUAAUACCUUAUACGCCCUUCGGGGGAAAGAUUUAUCGGAGAAGGAUCGGCCCGCGUUAGAUUAGGUAGUUGGUGGGGUAAUGGCCUACCAAGCCUACGAUCUAUAGCUGGUUUGAGAGGAUGAUCAGCAACACUGGGACUGAGACACGGCCCAGACUCCUACGGGAGGCAGCAGUGGGGAAUCUUGGACAAUGGGGGCAACCCUGAUCCAGCCAUGCCGCGUGAGUGAUGAAGGCCUUAGGGUCGUAAAGCUCUUUCGCCUGUGAAGAUAAUGACGGUAGCAGGUAAAGAAACCCCGGCUAACUCCGUGCCAGCAGCCGCGGUAAUACGGAGGGGGUUAGCGUUGUUCGGAAUUACUGGGCGUAAAGCGCGCGUAGGCGGACUAUUAAGUCAGGGGUGAAAUCCCGGGGCUCAACCCCGGAACUGCCUUUGAUACUGGUAGUCUUGAGUUCGAGAGAGGUGAGUGGAAUUCCGAGUGUANAGGUGAAAUU
rnacentral:rRNA from 1 species